rnacentral:lncRNA from 1 species
AUGUCUUGCUGAAACUCUCAGGAUUUUAUAAAUACAGAACAGAAAUCACUUGUUAAAUAGUUCUUUACCUUGUAUUCUUUUUCUCUUUUUUUCUUUUUUUCUUUUUCCUUUACAUUUAAUUAUUUCAUUUACAUCUGUAGCACGAUUUCACAUAUAUGGGCAUGUAGGAAUGUGUAGCCUCCUCUUGUAUCACCUAGAAUUAAGAGGGAGCCAGUGACCUACUCCCCCCACCCCUCUCCCAUUAUUGUGUAACUGUUGGAACUGGAGAUGCUCCAUUCCUCACAAAUUGAGGCAGCAGACACCUUCAGUCCAGGGUAGUGCAUACUACGAUGGAGCAGCAGCAAAUCCAAAAAGAAAAUUAACAAAUAGACUUCUUUAUGCACUGAUGGCAGUACUUGUUAUAUCAGCAGAAACCAACUAGAACUGUUUGAAAUGAUUUAGGGAAAAGGGAUGAAAAAAAGAACGACUUCUCUUUCUUUUGGGUUAUCCGAGCACAUUGGAAGGGGGGAACCAAACACACCGCAACAUUCAAAGCAAAACAGAAAGAACAAGGGGUCCAGGGAAAAAGUCCCCUCCUCCCUCCUUUCCCUGGAAGAAAAAAUAAAGACCUUGGUUCAGAUGGAUCACAACCUCCAAGCAGCUCUCAGGAGAUAG